GGGGUGGGAAGUGGAGAUUUUCUAGGUCCCUGAAGGCCACUGUCCAGGCUUUGGCUUUUACUGAAUGAAAAAGGGAACCAUCAGAGUAGUGUUUUAGAAGGAUAUUGUUGGCUGCUUUUUGUGUGUGUGCAUGGGGCUGGGGGGUCAGGGUGGAGAGGUAGUGAGAAGCAGAAAGAUCACUUAAAAGACUCUUAUAGGCCAGGUGAAGAUUAUAGUGGCUGGGGAAGUAGCAUUGGGGGUGCCAAGAAUUGGUUGGACUCUGGGUAUGUUUUAAAGGAAAAGCCAGCAGGAUUUGCUGAUUAACUGUCUAUAGGGUUUGAGAGAAAGAGGAGCUGCCAUUACAGGGGUGGAAGAGACUGUGGCAGAUAGCUCAGCUGGGGACAUGUUCUGUUUGAGGUGUUUUUUUAUAUACCCAAGUAGUGAUCUAGAAGGGGCAGUUGGACACAUAAGUCUGGAGUUCAGGGAGGAAGGCCUGGCUGAAGAUUCACAUUUGGAAAUUAUCAGCUCAUAAAUUCUAUCAAAGUCAUGAGAUUGUGUGAGACCACCAAGAGAGUGAACGCUGAUGGAGAAGCCAAGAGGCCCAGGGGUUGAGCCCUGGAGAAUACCAACAAA
rnacentral:lncRNA from 10 species